UACGUAGGGUGCAAGCGUUGUCCGGAAUUAUUGGGCGUAAAGAGCGUGUAGGCGGCCCGAUUAGUCCGCUGUGAAAGUCCAGGGCUCAACCCUGGGAUGCCGGUGGAUACUGUCGGGCUCGAGUCCGGAAGAGGCGAGUGGAAUUCCGUGGUGUAGCGGUGAAAUGCGCAGAUAUCAGGAGGAACACCGGUGGCGAAGGCGGGGUCUCUGGGCCGAUACUGACGCUGAGGAGCGAAAGCAUGGGUAGCGAACAGG
rnacentral:rRNA from 1 species